UUAACAGCUGACAUUUAUUGAGUACUUAUUAUGGGCUUGACAGUUUUAUAAGUGCUUUACGUGGAUGGAGACCUUUAAUGCUCACAACAGCCUUGUGAGGUCAUGGAGUCUUGUCACCCAGGCUGGAGUGCAGUGGUGCGACCUUGGCUCACUGCAACCUCUGCCUCCCGGGUUCAAGUGAUUCUUCUGCCUCAGCCUCUGGAGUAGCUGGGAUUACAGAUGCCUGCCACCACGUCUGGCUAAUUUUUUGUAUUUUUAGUAGAAAAGGGGUUUCACCAUAUGGCCAGACUGGUCUCGGAACUCCUGAUCUCAGGUGAUCCAACCUCCUCAGCCUCCCAAAGUGCUGGGAUUACAGGCGUGAGCCACCGAGCCCGGCUGAGGUCAAUGUUAUUAUUACCAUCUCAUUUUAUAGAUAAGAAAAGAGGCUUGGAGAGGCUCUGGGAUGUCCCCGCAGUCACACAGGCAGUAGGUGGGAGAGCCAGAUUUGAGAAAUAAUAUGAAUUUCAUAUGGCUUAGACACUAGUGGGGGAAAUGAACAUCAACAACCAGUGAUCACAGUGAUCUCUAGAUGCCCUUGGGAAAUGCUGGCCUGGACACACCUGAGUAAGGUCUUGGUGGUGCAGAGCCUGGAAAAAUGAGCACUGAGGCAUUAGCACCUAGCUCAGACUCAUCUGCAAGAACUGCCACUUAUCAGCUGUGAGAGCUUAGGCACCUUACUUCCCCAGGGGCUGAAGACCCCUCCUGACAGAGGGGACAAACUAACCCUGCAAAUAUGCUGGCCUGGGCAAUACCCUGGUGGACAUGUUCAGUGCCUUUCCUUCCUCUUUCUUCUGUCUUCCCACAUGUUCGCUGCCUAAUGGUGGGGGUCUGCCCCCAUCCACCAUCCUGAGACUGAGGGCCACCCUGCCCACCAGCCUGAGGGUGGAGUGUGCCCUGCCCACCAGCCUGAGGGUGGAGUGUGCCCUGCCCACCAGCCUGAGGGUAGGAUAUGACCCUGCCUGUAGAGGGCUUCACCAGGAGUCCCAGGCCCACCCACCCUGUACCUGAGGAGUGGAAAAUCAGAAACCCUAUUUUUUCACGAACUGCACAUGCCUCCCUCAUCACCAGCACACGCGAUUUGCAGGGAGAGCAGACUUUUUUUUUUCUUCCUGAGACGGGGUCUUGCUCUGUCUCCCAGGCUAGAGUGCAGAGGCAUAACCACAGCUCACUGCAGCCUUGACCUCUCAGGCUGAAGCGAUCCUCUCACCUCAGCCUCCCAGGUAGCUGGGACUACAGGUGCAUGCUACCAUGCCUUGCUAAUUUUUAAAUUUUUUUAUAGAGACACGGUCUCACUAUUUUGCCCAGGCUGGUCUCAAACUCCUGGGUUCAAGUGAUCCUCCCGCCUUAGCCUCCCAAAGUGCUGGGGUUACAGGUGCAAGCCACUGUGCCUGGCUAGAUUUUAGUAUUUUACCCAACUGAAUCUCUUUUGGAUUUUACUGCUCAGCCCCAAAGCACUGCUGGAAAGGGAUCAGGAAGAGAGGGGGAAAAGUUAGAUUUUGUGUGUCCAAACAGGUUCUUUUUCUUUCUUUUCUUUAGAGACAAGGUCUCACUAUAUGAGAGCUGGUCUCAAACUCUUAGGCUUAAGUGAUCCUUCUGCCUCAGCCUUCUGAGAAGCUGGUACUAUAGGAACAAGCCCCCAUGCCCAGCUCUCCAAACAGGUUAUUCUUAAAAUUAAAAACAAACAAAAGAAACCUAAAAGCAAAAAGCCAAAAGGAAGCACUCCAUGAGAAUGGGAGGCUUGCAGGUAUUAUAGGCAGAGGAAGCUGCUGUCCCUUGCAGGGCAAAGGCUGCAUACAGGCAAAGGCCCACAGUGUCAGGGCUGGGGGCACCCCCUCCCCCCAGUUUCUUUGGUCUCAUCUCUGCUAUCUAAUGUAAGCAUUUUAAUGUCACCUACAAAGGUACUCCUAGCACCCAUUUCUCAUGUUGAUGUUGUUUUCCAACACUCCGAGGCUUGGGCUCUGGAGCUCCCUGUGCUGUGAGCACGUUUCUGGGGACUCGGGUGCAGGGAGCCAGGCAAAGGCCCACAGUGUCAGGGCUGU
rnacentral:lncRNA from 1 species